rnacentral:rRNA from 1 species
GAUGAACGCUAGCGGGAGGCCUAACACAUGCAAGCCGAGCGGUAUUGUUUCUUCGGAAAUGAGAGAGCGGCGUACGGGUGCGGAACACGUGUGCAACCUGCCUUUAUCUGGGGGAUAGCCUUUCGAAAGGAAGAUUAAUACUCCAUAACAUAUUGAUUGACAUCAAUUAAUAUUGAAAGCUCCGGCGGAUAGAGAUGGGCACGCGCAAGAUUAGCUAGUUGGUGAGGUAACGGCUCACCAAGGCGAUGAUCUUUAGGGGGCCUGAGAGGGUGAUCCCCCACACUGGUACUGAGACACGGACCAGACUCCUACGGGAGGCAGCAGUGAGGAAUAUUGGUCAAUGGGUGCAAGCCUGAACCAGCCAUCCCGCGUGAAGGACGACUGCCCUAUGGGUUGUAAACUUCUUUUGUAUAGGGAUAAACCUACCCUCGUGAGGGUAGCUGAAGGUACUAUACGAAUAAGCACCGGCUAACUCCGUGCCAGCAGCCGCCGUAAGAC